GAUGAACGCUGGCGGCGUGCCUAAUACAUGCAAGUCGAGCGAAUGAUGAGGAGCUUGCUCCUCUGAUUUAGCGGCGGACGGGUGAGUAACACGUGGGUAACCUGCCUGUAAGAUGGGGAUAACUCCGGGAAACCGGGGCUAAUACCGAAUAAUAAAAGAGGAAGCAUUUCUUCUUUUUGAAAGUUGGUUUCGGCUAACACUUACAGAUGGGCCCGCGGCGCAUUAGCUAGUUGGUGAGGUAACGGCUCACCAAGGCGACGAUGCGUAGCCGACCUGGGAGGGUGAUCGGCCACACUGGGACUGAGACACGGCCCAGACUCCUACGGGAGGCAGCAGUAGGGAAUCUUCGGCAAUGGGCGCAAGCCUGAUCCAGCCAUGCCGCGUGAGUGAAGAAGGCCUUCGGGUUGUAAAGCUCUUUCGGCGGGGACGAAACGGUUCGUGCCAACACCACGGACUAAUGACGGUACCCGAAGAAGAAGCACCGGCUAACUACGUGCCAGCCGCCGCGGUAA
rnacentral:rRNA from 1 species